GCCUGGAUAGCUCAGUUGGUAGAGCAUCAGACGUUUAAUCUGAGGGGCCAGGGUUCAUAACCCUGUUUGGGCA
rfam:TPA: Bos taurus chromosome 24, whole genome shotgun sequence.